rnacentral:rRNA from 1 species
CAAUAGCGUAUAUUAAAGUUGUUGCGGUUAAAAAGCUCGUAGUUGGAUUUCUGCCGAGGACGACCGGUCCGCCCUCUGGGUGAGUAUCUGGCUCGGCCUGGGCAUCUUCUUGGAGAACGUAGCUGCACUUGACUGUGUGGUGCGGUAUCCAGGACUUUUACUUUGAGGAAAUUAGAGUGUUUCAAGCAGGCUUACGCCUUGAAUACAUUAGCAUGGAAUAAUAAGAUAGGACCUCGGUUCUAUUUUGUUGGUUUCUAGAGCUGAGGUAAUGAUUAAUAGGGAUAGUUGGGGGCAUUCGUAUUUAACUGUCGGAGGUGAAAUUCUUGGAUUUGUUAAAGACGGACUACUGCGAAAGCAUUUGCCAAGGAUGUUUUCAUUG